GCCGAUGGGAUAGCUCAGUCGGCAGAGCAUGAGACUUAAUCUCAGUCUCGUGAGUUUGAGCCCCACUUUGGGCA